GACGAACGCUGGCGGCGUGCUUAACACAUGCAAGUCGAACGGAAAGGCCCUGCUUGCAGGGUGCUCGAGUGGCGAACGGGUGAGUAACACGUGGGUGAUCUGCCCCUUACUUUGGGAUAAGCCUGGGAAACUGGGUCUAAUACUGGAUAGGACCAUGCUGUAGGUGGUGUGGUGGAAAGAUUAGUUUCGGUAAGGGAUGAGCUCGCGGCCUAUCAGCUUGUUGGUGGGGUAAUGGCCUACCAAGGCGUCGACGGGUAGCCGGCCUGAGAGGGUGGACGGCCACAUUGGGACUGAGAUACGGCCCAGACUCCUACGGGAGGCAGCAGUGGGGAAUAUUGCACAAUGGGCGCAAGCCUGAUGCAGCGACGCCGCGUGGGGGAUGACGGCCUUCGGGUUGUAAACUCCUUUCAGCCAUGACGAAGCCCCUGUGGUGACGGUAGUGGUAGAAGAAGCACCGGCUAACUACGUG
rnacentral:rRNA from 1 species